rnacentral:snRNA from 1 species
UUCUCCUCUUCAAGGCUUCC